rnacentral:lncRNA from 13 species
AUGCCCAGAUGGAGUCUCAUUUUGUUGUCCAGGCUGGAGUGCGCGAUCUCGGCUCACUGCAACCUUCACCUCCCAGAUUCAAGUGAUUCUUGUGCCUCAGCCACCCACAUAGUUGAAAUUAUACACAUGUGCCACUACACCCAGACAGGGUCUUGCUCUGUCACUCAGGCUGGAGUGCAGUGGCCACUAUAUUGCCCAGAACAGCCUUGAACUCCUGGCCUCAAGCGAUGCUCCAGCCUCGGCCCCCAAAGCACUGGGAUUACAGGUAUGAGCCACCGUGCCUUGUGGGCAGCCCUAGGUUAGUUAUAUCAACCUGGGCAGUCUGAUUCCUGGGCCCAGUUACUACUAGGUAUAGACCACAAAUUCAGCUGUGCAAGCACAUUACUUUCUUAAAUUUCUAGAGUUCAAGUUCAUUUUAUUUAUUUAUUUAUUUAUUUUUGAGAUGGAGUCUCACUCUGUCAUCCAGGCUGGGCGCAAUGACGUGAUCUCAGCUCACUGCAAUCCCCGCCUCCCAGGUUCAAGCAAUUCUCCUGCCUCAGCCUCCUGGGUAGCUGGGAUUACAGGUGUGCGCCACCACACCCAGCUAAUUUUUUUGUAUUUUUAGUAGAAACAGGGUUUCUCCAUGUUGAUCAGGCCGGUCUCAAACUCCUGACCUCAUGAUCUGCCUGCCUCAGCCUCCUAAAGUGCUGGGAUUUUAGGCAUGAGCCACCAUGCCUGGCCUUCCUUUUUUUUUUUUUUUUUUUUGAGACGGAGUUUUGCUCUUGUUACCCGGGCUGGAGUGCAAUGGCACGAUCUCAGCUCACCGCAACCUCUGCCUCCUGGGUUCAGGCAAUUCUCCUGCCUCAGCCUCCUGAGCAGCUGGGAUUACAGGCACACGCUACCAUGCCCAGCUAAUUUUUUGUAUUUUUAGUAGAGACGGGGUUUCACCGUGUUGACCAGGAUGGUCUCGAUCUCUUGACCUUGUGAUCCACUCUCCUCGGCCUCCCAAAGUGCUGGGAUUACAGGCAUGAGCCACUGCGCCUGGCUUUUUUUUUUUUUUUUUUUAAAGACAGGGUUUCACCAUGUUGGCCAGGCUGGUCUUGAACUCCUGACCUCAGGUGAUCCUCCCGCCUUGGCCUCCUAAAGUGCUGAGAUUACAGGCAUGAGCCACCAGGCCCGGCCCUUUUUGUGUGUGUGUGUGAGACAGUCUUGCUCUGUUGCCCAGGCUGGA